rnacentral:lncRNA from 1 species
UUCGAAUCGGACUCGUCGUUGAUCACAGUCUGGUAGAUCAAACGAUCUCUCUCUCUCUCUACCCAAGGUACUACGUUUCAGUUGAUUUAGAUUAAGUUUGCUGAGUUGCAUUAUGAUUUUGAUGAUGAUUAAUGAGUUUCGAUCUAUCCUUCUAGGUUCUGCACAUGUUAGAUGAAAAUAUUAUCUUAAGGCCUGUUUUAUGUGAACUGAAUAAUGCGUUGCUUUGCUUUUGUUUCGGAAUCCACUCGUUGGAGCUGCCUCUCGGUUCGUGUUCGUCCGUGGUGGGUGAGAAACAUUUUGGGAUCUAGCAUAUAGGUGGCUCUUCUCUUGUUGUUGUUUGUGGAUAACUUUAUUAUUUAUAUUUGGGAGAGUAAACAGGUACAUUUGCUCAAUUAACCACAACAUCCUGCUGCUUCCUUGCGCACUUUUUAGAAAGUGGUUUCCCACAGAGUAACUCAUUUCCAGCGUAAAUGGACGGAUCUUUAAACUUCAGCUGCUUAGGUAUGCUCCCCUCCAGUUUAUUGUAAGAAACAUUCAGCGUAUGCAGAGAAGAUAUCGCUGCCAAGCUCUGAGGAAUGGCACCAGAAAACCUGUUUCUUGAUAGAUCAAGCGUCUCCAGGUGACCAAGUUUUGAAAUAUUCCCGGGAAUGCUUCCUGCGACGGAGUUUCUUGAUAAAUUCAGGAUUCGAAGGUAAGUGAGGUCCAAGAUCUCCACUGGGAUUUCUCCGUGUAUGCUGUUUCCGGAAAGAUUUAUGCUAUCGCGUAUCUCUUGGUAUUCAUUACGGAGUUUCUUGAUAAAUUCAGGAUUCGAAGGUAAGUGAGGUCCAAGAUCUCCACUGGCAUUUCUCCGUUUAUGUUGUUUCCGGAAAGAUUUAUGCUAUCGCGUAUCUCUUGGUAUUCAUAGUACUCGUCGACGCUUUUACCUUGCACAAUGGCUGUGAGAUUGCCCAUGCAUUUUGGAACCGAGCCAGAUAAUUUGUUUUCUGAGAGAUCCAGAAUGUGUAGAUUCCUCAACGCUCCAAGCGA